UAUAUAUGUGUAUGUAUAUAUACCUAGGUGUAUAUACAUACAUACACACACACAUACACACAUAUUCA
ensembl:miRNA Gm27591 predicted gene, 27591